rnacentral:rRNA from 1 species
AGCGAACGCUGGCGGCAGGCCUAACACAUGCAAGUCGAACGAACUCUUCGGAGUUAGUGGCGGACGGGUGAGUAACACGUGGGAACGUGCCUUUUGGUUCGGAAUAACUCAGGGAAACCUGUGCUAAUACCGAAUGUGCCCUUCGGGGGAAAGAUUUAUCGCCAUUAGAGCGGCCCGCGUCUGAUUAGCUAGUUGGUGAGGUAACGGCUCACCAAGGCGACGAUCAGUAGCUGGUCUGAGAGGAUGACCAGCCACACUGGGACUGAGACACGGCCCAGACUCCUACGGGAGGCAGCAGUGGGGAAUCUUGCGCAAUGGGCGAAAGCCUGACGCAGCCAUGCCGCGUGAAUGAUGAAGGUCUUAGGAUUGUAAAAUUCUUUCACCGGGGACGAUAAUGACGGUACCCGGAGAAGAAGCCCCGGCUAACUUCGUG